rnacentral:rRNA from 1 species
GAACGCUGGCGGCAUGCCUACCACAUGCAAGUCGACCGAGACCUUCGGGUCUAGUGGCGCACGGGUGCGUAACGCGUGGGAACCUGCCCUUAGGUUCGGAAUAACUCCCCGAAAGGGGUGCUAAUACCGGAUAAUGUCUUCGGACCAAAGAUUUAUCGCCUUUGGAUGGGCCCGCGUUGGAUUAGCUAGUUGGUAGGGUAAAAGCCUACCAAGGCGACGAUCCAUAGCUGGUCUGAGAGGAUGAUCAGCCACACUGGGACUGAGACACGGCCCAGACUCCUACGGGAGGCAGCAGUGGGGAAUAUUGGACAAUGGGCGAAAGCCUGAUCCAGCAAUGCCGCGUGAGUGAUGAAGGCCUUAGGGUUGUAAAGCUCUUUUACCCGGGAUGAUAAUGACAGUACCGGGAGAAUAAGCUCCGGCUAACUCCGUG